AGGGGCGUAGCAUAAUGGUAUUGUUGCGGUCUCCAAAACCGUCCGUGGGAGUUCGAUUCUCUCCGCCCCUGCCA
rnacentral:tRNA from 3 species